GAUGAAGAACGUAGCAAAAUGCGAUAAGUAAUGCGAAUUGCAGAAUUCAGUGAGUCAUCGAAUCUUUGAACGCACAUUGCGCCCUGUGGUAUUCCGCAGGGCAUGCCUGUUCGAGCGUCAUUUCAACCCUCAAGCCUCGCUUGGUGUUGGGCCCUGCCCGCCGCGGCCGGCCCUAAAGAUAGUGGCGGCGCCGCCUGGCCCUCAGCGUAGUACAGCUCUCGCUCCAGGGUCCGGCGGUAGCCUGCCAGAACCCCCCAACUCUGUGGUUGACCUCGGAUCAGGUAGGGAUACCCGCUGAACUUAAGCAUAUCAAUAAGCGGAGGA
rnacentral:misc_RNA from 1 species